UGAGCAAUCUGCCCUUCUCUUUGGAAUAAGCGUUGGAAACGACGUCUAAUGCCGAAUACGACCUCCUUUCGCAUGAUCGGAGGUGGAAAGCUCCGGCGGAGAAGGAUGAGCUCGCGGCCUAUCAGCUAGUUGGUGUGGGUAAUGGCCCACCAAGGCGACGACGGGUAGCCGGCCUGAGAGGGUGACCGGCCACACUGGGACUGAGACACGGCCCAGACUCCUACGGGAAGNAG
rnacentral:rRNA from 1 species